AUCUCUUUACCUGUAACACACCUGAGAUUUCCUGAGCUCAGGUACAGUCAGUCUUCCAGCAGCUCUGAGAGAAACAGCAUCGCCACCGCCUCCUGCUUCACACAGCCAGACACAGCCGAGCCACAGCAAUGUAUUCCCCAUACGGAAGUAAGGUAAUAGUCCAGGCCGCCUCUCAACACACCAUCAUCCAACAACCACCAACCCAACAUAUAAUCCAGGCCCCAAAGCCAACAGUGAUUUAUCAGACCGCACCUCCACCUACUAUAAUCCAGACGGCUCCUCCACCAACUGUGGUCUACCAGCAGCCUGCACCUACUACUAUAGUCCAUACCCAGGCUCCACCCACCGUGAUCCAGACAGCAACGAGGGUUUACCAGACCCCGGCAGCCCCCCAAGUGGUGUAUCGCCAGUUCUUCUGAGACAAGAACCUGGAGAGCCCAGAAAAUCCUGGAGAGCUUCAUGCUGACACAAUUCUAUAAAAAACAUGGGGUUUGAAUGUUGGGUUUAACAGAUCCUUUUAUUUAAAAAAGGUCUGUGUGUAAAUGUAUUAUAUAUUCUCUAUAUAAUCUACUCUACUAUAAGAGAUGAGAAUAUUAAGAUCAAGAUCAUUUGGGUGUUUAUUAUUCAAUUACCACGAAACAGUUUCAUCGUUCCUGCUCUUGGAAUCAACAGAAGAUGUUUAGAAGAUGUUUAGAAGUGUUGAACUGACUGUUUACCCGUCAUACUGUUCAUCAUUGGCGUACAAAACCGGGGGGAAAUAUCAGAAAUAGGUGGAUUUGUCCCCCGCAAAAAUGAUACCGCAGAAAAAGAAUAAAUUAAUUUAAAAUAAACUUCUGCACCCCUGCCAUUUUCAAGAAUUUCCCCCCGGGGAUCAAUAAAGUAUCUAUCUAUCUAUCUAUCUAUCAUGAAAAGCACCACCUCUUGGCAGCGCAUUUAGUUAAACUACUAGUUAAAGUAAGCUGUGCGGAGAGGGUGCUUUUUAUGGCAGGGAUGCAGAUUUAGGCACUACUAUGGUGCCAAAUUCAGCACCCCCUCCAGAAAACGUAGAACAGUAUCUUGGGUAUUUCCAUUUUCUAAGUAAUUUUAAAGCCAAUUAAGCAUACCUGUCAAGUCUCCCGUUUUGGCCGGGAAACUACCGUAUUUUACUCCUCUUUCCCGCCGUCCUCCCGUAUUAAUAUUUUCCCGUAAAUUUCCCGUAUUAUAUUAAAAUUAAAAAAAACUUUAUUAUUGAGGAGACAGGGCACUGACCGAUCUGUGUCUCUUAACCAAUCGUGGUGCCGGUUCAAGGAGAAAGUCUCGCCUUUCAGGAGAAACAGCCAAUCAGCUUGCUGGUUUCGCGGAGCGCAGAGGUAUAUCAGAUUCUGAUAAUCUAAAUUUAGUGUGUAAGUGGUUCACAUGUGGUUAUUUUAGAUUUCUUGUAAACCUGUCUUAAAAUGUAAGGAAUACUAAAUCUUGGUUGGGCUGGUGGGACGACUUUAAGCGGACGGAGGAAAAUAUCCCUUAUUUUUAAAUAUAAAACUUGACAGGUAUGAUUAAGUUAAAGCCAAGAAGACAUUGGUGCGCGCUUCCGUGAGAGGGUGCUUUUCCUGGCGGGGGUUCUGAAUUUGGCACAACACUGGCUUUACACGCAAGGUCAGUGAUGAGAGCAAUGAAUCGCAACAAUGUCAAGUUGGUAUGGUAUGAAGGGUAAUAUUGUUUUGUUAUAUUUUAAUAAAAGACUUUAUUUGAUAUGAAUAAAAAUGGUUUGCUACCACA